rnacentral:rRNA from 1 species
AUUGAACGCUGGCGGCAGGCCUAACACAUGCAAGUCGAGCGGAGCGGCGGACGGGUGAGUAAUGCCUAGGAAUCUGCCCGGUAGUGGGGUAUAACGUCCGGAAACGGGCGCUAAUAUCGCAUACUAUAAGGUGACCCUAGGUUGGCGUAGCUAGUUGGUGGGGUAAAGGCCUACCAAGGCGACGAUCCGUAACUGGUCUGAGAGGAUGAUCAGUCACACUGGAACUGAGACACGGUCCAGACUCCUACGGGAGGCAGCAGUGGGGAAUAUUGGGCAAUGGGCGAAAGCCUGAUCCAGCCAUGCCGCGUGUGUGAAGAAGGUCUUCGGAUUGUAAAGCACUUUAAGUUGGGAGGCGUUACCAACAGAAUAAGCACCGGCUAACUACGUGCCAGCAGCCGCGGUAAUUC